AUGACAUUUUUAUCUGAAGAGGAGGCCUACUCCUUUUAUAACAAGUAUGCAAAAGGUACUGGUUUUAGCAUCCGAAGAGGGAGUCACCAUAAAGUGAAGAAUGCUACUGUAAUACAACAACGGACAUUUACAUGCUCCCGUCAAGGAUUCCGAGUUGAAGAUAGCAGAGAGGAUUCUUUCAGUUACAGUAGGCCUGAAACACGAUGUGGUUGUCUAGCUCAUAUGAAGAUAAGUCUAAAAAACGGAUUGUAUUAUGUGUAUGAAUUUGAGGCAGAACAUAACCACCCUCUUGCUACCGGAGACAUGGCCCUAUACUUAAGAUCCCAAAGGAAAGUCACAGAAGCACAAAUAGCAAGCGCUGAAGUCGCAAAGUCUGUAGGCAUUUCGAAUAAAGCAACUAUUGAUCUUAUGGCCAAAGAAGCAUGUGGCCUUCCAAAUCUUGGGUUUGCACCUGAAGAUAUGAAAAACCGUUUGUAUUCUAAGAGAACACUGCAAGCAAAGAAAGGAGACACGGGGGGAGUGUUAGAAUACAUGGAGAAGAAGGUAAAAGAAGAUGCCAAUUUUUUCUAUUCAAUUCAAGUUGACGAGGAUGAUCUGAUAACUAAUAUUUUUUGGGCUGACUCCAAAAUGAUAUCAGACUAUGCAAUGUUUGGUGAUGUUGUAUGCUUUGACACCACAUAUAGGAAACUAGAUGAUGGACGUCCAUUUGGUUUGAUUGUUGGGGUGAAUAAUCACAAGAAAACUACUGUCUUUGGUGCUACACUUCUCUAUGAUGAAACAGCUGAAAGUUUUGGUUGGCUUUUUAGAACAUUUCUAACAGCUAUGUCUGGGAAACAUCCAAGGACUAUUCUGACCGAUGAAGAUGCGGCAAUGGCCAAGGCAAUCAAGAAGUCCUUCCUCAGUCUCACCAUAGACUUUGUGUGUGGCAUAUGA
rnacentral:rRNA from 1 species